rnacentral:rRNA from 1 species
GGUGAUCUACCCAUGUCCAGGAUGAAGGUAAGGUAAUACUUACUGGAGGUCCGAACCCACGCACGUUGAAAAGUGCGGGGAUGAGGUGUGGGUAGCGGAGAAAUUCCAAUCGAACUUGGAGAUAGCUGGUUCUCUCCGAAAUAGCUUUAGGGCUAGCCUCGAGGUAAAGAGUCAUGGAGGUAGAGCACUGUUUGGACUAGGGGCCCUUCUCGGGUUACCGAAUUCAGAUAAACUCCGAAUGCCAUGUACUUAUACUCGGGAGUCAGACUGCGAGUGAUAAGAUCCGUAGUCGAAAGGGAAACAGCCCAGACCACCAGUUAAGGUCCCCAAAUAUAUGUUAAGUGGAAAAGGAUGUGGGGUUGCUUAGACAACCAGGAUGUUGGCUUAGAAGCAGCCACCAUUGAAAGAGUGCGUAAUAGCUCACUGGUCGAGUGACCCCGCGCCGAAAAUGUACCGGGGCUAAACAUAUUACCGAAACUGUGGAUGAACCUCUUUAGAGGUUCGUGGUAGGAGAGCGUUCUAAGGGCGGUGAAGUCAGACCGGAAGGACUGGUGGAGCGCUUAGAAGUGAGAAUGCCGGUAUGAGUAGCGAAAGAAGGGUGAGAAUCCCUUCCACCGAAUAUCUAAGGUUUCCUGAGGAAGGCUCGUCCGCUCAGGGUUAGUCGGGACCUAAGCCGAGGCCGAUAGGCGUAGGCGAUGGACAACAGGUAGAGAUUCCUGUACCAGUGCUAAUUGUUUAACCGAUGGGGUGACACAGAAGGAUAGGGAAUCGCACGAAUGGAAAUGUGCGUCCAAGCAGUGAGUGUGAGAAGUAGGCAAAUCCGCUUCUCGCGAAGCAUGAGCUGUGAUGGGGAAGGAAAUUAAGUACGGAAGUUCCUGAUUUCACGCUGUCAAGAAAAGCCUCUAGGAAGAGUAGUACUGCCCGUACCGCAAACCGACACAGGUAGAUGAGGAGAGAAUCCUAAGGUGAGCGAGAGAACUCUCGUUAAGGAACUCGGCAAAAUGACCCCGUAACUUCGGGAGAAGGGGUGCUCUAUUAGGGUGCAAGCCCGAGAGAGCCGCAGUGAAUAGGCCCAGGCGACUGUUUAGCAAAAACACAGGUCUCUGCAAAACCGUAAGGUGACGUAUAGGGGCUGACGCCUGCCCGGUGCUGGAAGGUUAAGAGGAGUGCUUAGCUUCGGCGAAGGUACGAAUUGAAGCCCCAGUAAACGGCGGCCGUAACUAUAACGGUCCUAAGGUAGCGAAAUUCCUUGUCGGGUAAGUUCCGACCCGCACGAAAGGCGCAACGAUCUGGGCACUGUCUCAACGAGAGACUCGGUGAAAUUAUAGUACCUGUGAAGAUGCAGGUUACCCGCGACAGGACGGAAAGACCCCGUGGAGCUUUACUGCAACCUGAUAUGGAAUGUUUGUACCGCUUGUACAGGAUAGGUAGGAGCCGAAGAGACGUGUGCGCUAGCAUACGAG